GGGCGGGACACGUGACAUCCUGUCUGAAUAUGGGGGGACCAUCCUCCAAGGCUAAAUACUCCUGACUGACCGAUAGUGAACCAGUACCGUGAGGGAAAGGCGAAAAGAACCCCUGUGAGGGGAGUGAAAUAGAACCUGAAACCGUGUACGUACAAGCAGUGGGAGCCCUUCGGGGUGACUGCGUACCUUUUGUAUAAUGGGUCAGCGACUUACAUUUUGUAGCGAGGUUAACCGUAUAGGGGAGCCGUAGGGAAACCGAGUCUUAACUGGGCGUCUAGUUGCAAGGUGUAGACCCGAAACCGGGUGAUCUAGCCAUGGGCAGGUUGAAGGUUGAGUAACAUCAACUGGAGGACCGAACCCACUAACGUUGCAAAGUUAGGGGAUGACCUGUGGCUGGGGGUGAAAGGCCAAUCAAACUCGGAGAUAGCUGGUUCUCCCCGAAAGCUAUUUAGGUAGCGCCUCGGACGAAUACUACUGGGGGUAGAGCACUGUUUGGGCUAGGGGGUCAUCCCGACUUACCAACCCCAUGCAAACUCCGAAUACCAGUAAGUAAUAUCCGGGAGACACACGGCGGGUGCUAACGUCCGUCGUGAAGAGGGAAACAACCCAGACCGCCGGCUAAGGUCCCAAAGUUCUGGUUAAGUGGGAAACGAUGUGGGAAGGCUCAGACAGCUAGGAUGUUGGCUUAGAAGCAGCCAUCAUUUAAAGAAAGCGUAAUAGCUCACUAGUCGAGUCGGCCUGCGCGGAAGAUGUAACGGGGCUCAAACCA
rnacentral:rRNA from 1 species